CACAAGCGGUGGAGUAUGUGGUUUAAUUCGAUGCAACGCGAAGAACUUACCUGGUCUUGACAUCCCGGAGACCCUUAGGAACUAGGGGUGCUUCCAUCUGGAAGAAUCUGGAGACAGGUGCUGCAUGGCUGUCGUCAGCUCGUGUCGUGAGAUGUUGGGUUUAAGUCCCGCAACGAGCGCAACCCUUGCCUUUAGUUGCCAGCAGUUCGGCUGGGCACUCUAAAGGGACUGCCGGUGUUAAACCGGAGGAAGGUGGGGAUGACGUCAAGUCCUCAUGGCCUUUAUGACCAGGGCUACACACGUACUACAAUGGCCGAUACAAAGGGCAGCGACACUGCGAGGUGAAGCCAAUCCCGUAAAAUCGGUCUCAGUCCGGAUUGGAGUCUGCAACUCGACUCCAUGAAGUUGGAAUCGCUAGUAAUCGUGGAUCAGCAUGCCACGGUGAAUACGUUCCCGGGCCUU
rnacentral:rRNA from 1 species